AAGAAUCUCCCGAAUGGGGUGAGUGCAGAGGCAGGACUUGGGAAUCUGAAAUGAGACCAUCCGGGAGCUGUGAGAUGAAAGAGGAGCGUUUCAGGCAGCUGUUUGCCGCCUUCGGCACGCUGACAGACUGCAGCCUGAAGUUCACCAAAGAUGGCAAGUUCCGCAAGUUUGGUUUUAUUGGCUUCAAGUCCGAGGAAGAGGCCCAGAAGGCACUGAAGCAUUUCAACAAGAGCUUCAUCGACACAUCCCGGAUCACAGUGGAGUUCUGCAAGUCAUUCGGGGACCCGGCCAAACCCAGAGCCUGGAGCAAACAUGCCCAGAAACCAAGCCAGCCCAAGCAGCCUCCAAAAGACUCUGCUACUCCAGAAAUUAAGAAAGAUGAGAAGAAGAAAAAGGUGGCAGGUCAACUGGAGAAGAAGAGGCAAGCCUCGAACCGAAGACAGCUGUGCAGAAGGAGCUGUCAGACAUGGAUUACCUGAAAUCCAAGAUGGUGAAGUCCGGGUCGUCCUCUUCCUCGGAGGAAGAGGAAAGUGAAGAUGAAGCCGUGCACUGUGAUGAAGGGAGUGAGGCUGAGGAAGAGGAUUCCCCCACCACCCCAGUCCUG
rnacentral:sRNA from 1 species